UCACGUAAAAACUCGCACCUUUCCUUUAAUUCUGAUGGAGGUAGUUGAAAAAUAGUGAUCAUUGAUAUAAUUAAAAAUAAACAAUGCCAAGCAAGACCAUUAGACACAUAAGGACUUAAAAUAUGACUGAAAUUGAAAUAGAAUGAUUUUGAAAGUUUGAAAGUUCAACCUGAGCAAAACUUUUCGAUGAUGUCUUUGUUGGCUACAAAGCCUUAUAAAACAGAACAUUCCCCGCUGCAGGAGGAAAAAUAAAACAUAAAAAGGCUUCGCUGCGGAGUGAAGCCGACCGUUGGAGUGUGUGCCGCGCCGCGCACACAGCCGCGUGGAGCUUACAGACUGUAUCCAUAUGAAGAAAACACUACGUCGAGACAUGCUAGUGUGUGCUGCACACUGCGCUGGUAUCUCCAUGCCGAGUAUACAUGUAAUAAUAUCAGGAGGCAAACGAGCACGUCAUUAUUCCGCUGGCAAGAAGGUCGGGGUGGCGACGGCAGGCGUCCUGGCGAAGACCGUCACGCACUCGCGUCAAACUAGUCUCAUGACGUCACGACCCGCCCGGCGAAAUUACAAAACCGGCCGGGCAGGCCGGGCGAGCGCGGUGCGAGCGGUGCGGCGCAGUGGCGGACGCACUGCCGCACGACCCCGACGCGCCAACAGUGUGACGUACCGUGGGCGGCGUCGCGACGCUGGGGCGCGCGCGGGGACUCGAGCACGCGGCGAGCGGCGCUACGGAGCGCGGGCGCAGGUGCUCUGAGCGCAACAGCCUCCGCGCGCCGGCGCCGCAGCCCUCCGCGCCCCUCGCCGCCCGCGCCUUCUCUCGCACGCACCAAAACGACGAAUUUAUCUUCCCCUCGCAGCAAGAGUUGCCGGCGCGCGGCGGCGGCGGCGUAGCCUGGGGCUAUGCCCGCUCCGCCCGCACCUCGCUCCUUGACUCUGAUCCAACGACGUUACUUCGCGUCGAUCUGAGCAGCUGUUACAAAACUGCAGUGGAAUUACCCAACUUUACGCAACUUCCCUUAUUGGACUUUCAUGUCACAAUAUAAAUAUAUCCAUACUUCCAUGCUAAUAUUGUAUAGAGAACAGAUUUGUAUUUUCGUUUGUGACGAUUAAACUCAAAAACUACUGGAUCCAUUUUGGCACAGAGAUUGGCGAAACUUUGAGGAGUAGUAUAGGCUACUUAUGCUAUGGUUUUAUCUGAGCGAAGCAGGGACGGGCCACUAGCAUUAUAAUAAAGGUGAACAACAGAAUACAUAUCCGCGAGCUUAACUUACUUAGUAAAGAAAUAGAACUAGUCCUAUUUAUUUAGUCGUAAGGGUUGUGAACUUUCCAAGGUGGUAUAUCCAAUAAAUUCUGAACAUAUCUAUUUUAGUUAAUUCUAGUGGGUGGUCCCUGGGGUGGUGGUGGCUUCCCUCGGGUAAAAACACAAUAAAUUAUACCUACACCUUUUCUGUCGAUUUUGAGAACCUAAUACAUUUUAGUACCUAUAUUUUCCUUAUCAAUAUGCAUUCAUAUAAAUUCAUUGAAGAUUACAUCCACAUUUAAAAUAUCUAUACAUUAAACUACAAUUAAUAAAAAACAUUAAAACUUAAUUUCAAAUAUACCAUUCCCUGCAGUUCGUCGUGCCCAGAAAUCUGACAGUAUACAA